UGACUGCGUACCUUUUGUAUAAUGGGUCAGCGACUUAUAUUCUGUAGCAAGGUUAACCGAAUAGGGGAGCCGGAGGGAAACCGAGUCUUAAUUGGGCGUUAAGUUGCAGGGUAUAGACCCGAAACCCGGUGAUCUAGCCAUGGGCAGGUUGAAGGUUGGGUAACACUAACUGGAGGACCGAACCGACUAAUGUUGAAAAAUUAGCGGAUGACCUGUGGCUGGGGGUGAAAGGCCAAUCAAACCGGGAGAUAGCUGGUUCUCCCCGAAAGCUAUUUAGGUAGCGCCUCGUGAAUUCAUCUCCGGGGGUAGAGCACUGUUUCGGCUAGGGGGCCAUCCCGGCUUACCAACCCGAUGCAAACUGCGAAUACCGGAGAAUGUUAUCACGGGAGACACACGGCGGGUGCUAACGUCCGUCGUGAAGAGGGAAACAACCCAGACCGCCAGCUAAGGUCCCAAAGUCAUGGUUAAGUGGGAAACGAUGUGGGAAGGCCCAGACAGCCAGGAUGUUGGCUUAGAAGCAGCCAUCAUUUAAAGAAAGCGUAAUAGCUCACUGGUCGAGUCGGCCUGCGCGGAAGAUGUAACGGGGCUAAACCAUGCACCGAAGCUGCGGCAGCGACGCUGAUGCGUUGUUGGGUAGGGGAGCGUUCUGUAAGCCUGCGAAGGUGUGUCGUGAGGCAUGCUGGAGGUAUCAGAAGUGCGAAUGCUGACAUAAGUAACGAUAAAGCGGGUGAAAAGCCCGCUCGCCGGAAGACCAAGGGUUCCUGUCCAACGUUAAUCGGGGCAGGGUGAGUCGACCCCUAAGGCGAGGCCGAAAGGCGUAGUCGAUGGGAAACGGGUUAAUAUUCCCGUACUUGGUGUUACUGCGAAGGGGGGACGGAGAAGGCUAUGUUGGCCGGGCGACGGUUGUCCCGGUUUAAGCGUGUAGGUGUGUGUUCCAGGUAAAUCCGGUUCACUUUAACACUGAGGCGUGAUGACGAGGCACUACGGUGCUGAAGCAACAAAUGCCCUGCUUCCAGGAAAAGCCUCUAAGCAUCAGGUAACAUCAAAUCGUACCCCAAACCGACACAGGUGGUCAGGUAGAGAAUACCAAGGCGCUUGAGAGAACUCGGGUGAAGGAACUAGGCAAAAUGGUGCCGUAACUUCGGGAGAAGGCACGCUGACACGUAGGUGAAGUGAUUUACUCAUGGAGCUGAAGUCAGUCGAAGAUACCAGCUGGCUGCAACUGUUUAUUAAAAACACAGCACUGUGCAAACACGAAAGUGGACGUAUACGGUGUGACGCCUGCCCGGUGCCGGAAGGUUAAUUGAUGGGGUCAGCGCAAGCGAAGCUCCUGAUCGAAGCCCCGGUAAACGGCGGCCGUAACUAUAACGGUCCUAAGGUAGCGAAAUUCCUUGUCGGGUAAGUUCCGACCUGCACGAAUGGCGUAAUGAUGGCCAGGCUGUCUCCACCCGAGACUCAGUGAAAUUGAACUCGCUGUGAAGAUGCAGUGUACCCGCGGCAAGACGGAAAGACCCCGUGAACCUUUACUAUAGCUUGACACUGAACAUUGAGCCUUGAUGUGUAGGAUAGGUGGGAGGCUUUGAAGUGUGGACGCCAGUCUGCAUGGAGCCGGCCUUGAAAUACCACCCUUUAAUGUUUGAUGUUCUAACGUGGACCCGUGAUCCGGGUUGCGGACAGUGUCUGGUGGGUAGUUUGACUGGGGCGGUCUCCUCCUAAAGAGUAACGGAGGAGCACGAAGGUUGGCUAAUCCUGGUCGGACAUCAGGAGGUUAGUGCAAUGGCAUAAGCCAGCUUGACUGCGAGCGUGACGGCGCGAGCAGGUGCGAAAGCAGGUCAUAGUGAUCCGGUGGUUCUGAAUGGAAGGGCCAUCGCUCAACGGAUAAAAGGUACUCCGGGGAUAACAGGCUGAUACCGCCCAAGAGUUCAUAUCGACGGCGGUGUUUGGCACCUCGAUGUCGGCUCAUCACAUCCUGGGGCUGAAGUAGGUCCCAAGGGUAUGGCUGUUCGCCAUUUAAAGUGGUACGCGAGCUGGGUUUAGAACGUCGUGAGACAGUUCGGUCCCUAUCUGCCGUGGGCGCUGGAGAACUGAGGGGGGCUGCUCCUAGUACGAGAGGACCGGAGUGGACGCAUCACUGGUGUUCGGGUUGUCAUGCCAAUGGCACUGCCCGGUAGCUAAAUGCGGAAGAGAUAAGUGCUGAAAGCAUCUAAGCACGAAACUUGCCCCGAGAUGAGUUCUCCCUGAGACUUAGAGUCUCCUGAAGGAACGUUGAAGACGACGACGUUGAUAGGCCGGGUGUGUAAGCGCAGCGAUGCGUUGAGCUAACCGGUACUAAUGAACCGUGAGGCUUAACCUUACAACGCCGAA
rnacentral:rRNA from 1 species